rnacentral:rRNA from 1 species
AGAGUUUGAUCCUGGCUCAGAAUGAACGCUGGCGGCGUGGAUUAGGCAUGCAAGUCGAACGAGAAAGCGGUCUUCGGAUCGCCGGUAAAGUGGCGAACGGGUGAGUAACGCGUGGGAAACCUACCUUCGAGUGUGGGAUAACAACUCUAACGGGUUGCUAAUGCCGCAUAACAUUGCAGGUCGCAUGUUCUGCAAUCAAAGGUGGCCUAUACUUGUAAGCUGUCGCUUGGAGACGGUCCCGCGUCCCAUUAGCUAGUUGGUAGGGUAAUGGCCUACCAAGGCGACGAUGGGUAGCCGGCCUGAGAGGGUGGUCGGCCACACUGGAACUGAGACACGGUCCAGACUCCUACGGGAGGCAGCAGUCGAGAGGCUUCGGCAAUGGGGGAAACCCUGACCGAGCGACGCCGCGUGGGUGAUGAAGUUCUUCGGAACGUAAAACCCUGUCAUACGGGAUGAGAAGUUGAUCGGUAAAUAGCCUUUCAACUUGACAGUACUGUAAGAGGAAGCUCCGGCCAACUCCGUGCCAGCAGCCGCGGUAAUACGGGGGGAGCGAGCGUUAUUCGGAUUCACUGGGCGUAAACGGUUCGUAGGCGGCCAGGUAAGUCGAGGGUGAAAUCUGGCGGCUCAACCGUCAAACUGCCCUUGAAACCGCUUGGCUUGAGGACAUGAGAGGAAAGGGGAAUUCUCGGUGUAGCGGUGAAAUGCGUGGAUAUCGAGAGGAACACCAGUGGCGUAGGCGCCUUUCUGGCAUGUUUCUGACGCUGAGGAACGAAAGUCAGGGGAGCGAACGGGAUUUAGAU